UGGAGACAGAUGGAGGCCAACAGCACCAUGGCGACUGCUAAAGUGGGUGAUGGCCUGUGACUUCAGUAUUCUCUCCACCGCUGUGCAUUUCUGAACAAGGUCAGCCAGCAGGACGCUGAGAACAUACCUGCUCCAGUGGGAGUUUUGCAGUCCAGGCAGCAUUGAGGAGACUCUUCCUGUGACUUUUAGGGGCAUCUCUCAUCCGCAGAAAGAGCUCCUGUGCGUCCACACCACAGUGCUGACACACACCAUGUUCUGUUGCAAACACCUGGGCUCUCAGGGACUCAUGUUGCCCAGACUAGCUUUGAACUUCCCAUAUAUCUGAGGACCGCCUUGAAUUCCUGAUGGCCACGCCUCCACCUAAGUGAUAAAAUGACAAAGCCAUACUCCACUGCUGCUCCAUGAAGUUAAUGGCCUGACUGGAGAGGAAGGUGGAACUGCCCUGAGGAGUGGCAUCUCUAAGACAUGGGUGAACGCCAUUCCUGCUUAACACAGAGGACUCACUAGAUCCACAGCAGCUUCUCACAUCCAAGCUCUCCUGGUCAAACAGAUGCUAGCGGUCCACAAUC
rnacentral:lncRNA from 1 species